rnacentral:lncRNA from 1 species
AAUGUUUUCAUAGCUAAUUGUUACAUAGUUGCAGCAAGGUAAGAUGUAAAAUAACGACAAAACAAAACAAAUACAAAAUAUUAAAAAAAACAACAACAUUACCCUGAUAUAAUAAUAUUAUUCAAUAUUUAGAAAUUAUGUGCAUGUGAAGUUGCUGUUGUGCAUGUAUAUGUAAGUGCCCCCUCAAAUAAACAAGAGACAAGAGGAAACAAUCUCUGAUAGUUCCCCUGUGAAUAUUUUUUAUAUUAAAAUAAUGAGAGAAAAAAAAGCAAACCAACUAACUGACUGAUAUUUGAA